GUAAUGGAAGUAGCAGAGAGAAGACGAAUAAGAACAGCUGAAUCCCCCCUUGAAGUCAAAGUCCUAGGCUUAAAGCUCUUCUUCUUCUCUUUUUCUCCUUCCUUUUCACUUCCUUUUUCUCCCUCCUUUU
rnacentral:ribozyme from 13 species